ACUGCAAGCAACUAAUCCAAUCCACUCCAGUGCAGGAUACAAUUCCAUGUGUCUCGGUUUAAGCUCCUUUAUCUUCUGAGUCUUAGGCUCCUCCUGAAAUAUCCUUAAUUUCAGGUAUAUUAGGUGCCCAUAUGUAGCUCCAAAUCCUUACGGUGCUUAGCUGCAUAAAUCUUUUGACGUCAUGGGCUUCCGAAAGCCAAUCCUUGAGCAUGUCCUUUGCUCUACUGUCUCUUGAACCAUUAAUAGUUAUAACUCAUAUUGCUCUCCCACUUUGGUCCAACAAAGUGGUAUACUAUAAGGUCUACCAUAAAUAACCCUCAUAUAAUUUUUUUUUUUUUUUUUUUUUUU
rnacentral:lncRNA from 1 species